UUUAAUUAUAUAUUUGUACCUAAACAGUACAACAUAUCUAUAUUGAUGUACAAUUAUAAGCGCUCUAUUCUUUAAUAAAAGAAACUACUACACAUGUAGUUUUUGCUAGAAAAUUUUACAUUUUGAGUAGUGGAUGAGGUUAGUGCACACCACGGGCGGGCCCAGACCUAGGGCCAGCAGGGCCAUAGCUCUAGUCGUGGCCUAGAAAUUUCAGCAGCAACUCUUCAUUUUGGUCCAAGAAAGAAGCCCGUUAAAGAGAAAACUACGGAAGAGAAAGCGCUGCACUCGGCCACCGAUCCUUGCGCGGCCACCGUCCACGCCGCCGCAAGCAGCACGCCUUGCGCCCGCGCCCGCGCCCUCGCCUGUUGCCCCAGCUCCGCUGCUCUGGCCUCCGUGCCCUGGCCACCAGGAUGGCUGGCCGCCCCUGCCUCUCCUGCCGUGUCCCCUGCUCGGCUGCUCGCUCGUCGACCGGACGAUCGCCCAGCUGCCAGCGCCCACACACGCUCGGAGUCAGAGGCCAGACUAGGGGCCUAGAGUGGCAGCCGGUAGAGCCCCAACCCCUAGACACGUCCGCCUGCCACCCAGGAGGCCAGGACUGCUGCCGCCUGUGGCCUGUCCGCAUCCGCCAGGGGCAAAGGAGCCGAGAGCACCCUGUCCAGAAGCCGUGAUUCAACGUGAAGUGAAGCUGUGAAGAGGACAAGGACUAUUGUAUCGUAUUUCUCUUGAGUUGGUGAACUAGAACAAUGAAUCAUCCAUCCUCCAUUGUCAGAUCUAGAUCCAGAUCGAGAGUAAGAGCAAGCAGGAACAGGAAGCAUCAAUCAUCCUCCGGCAUCAUCUUAAGGUGCAGGAGCUAUUAUAUCAUACUAUUAAUUAUUGUUCAAGAAUUUCUUUGAAUUUGCCAAUUUUGCUUGAGAAUUUUUAUUUUCUAUAAAAUAUGUGUGUGUGUAUAUAUAGUCCUAUAAACUAUACUAUAGGCUAUAGCGUUUUGAUUUUA